GUUGAACGCUGGCGGCAGGCCUAACACAUGCAAGUCGAGCGGCAGCGGAAAGUAGCUUGCUACUUUGCCGGCGAGCGGCGGACGGGUGAGUAAUGUCUGGGAAACUGCCUGAUGGAGGGGGAUAACUACUGGAGACGGUAGCUAGUACCGCAUAACGUCGCAAGACCAAAGAGGAGGACCUUCGGGCCUCUUGCCAUCAGAUGUGCCCAGAUGGGAUUAGCUAGUAGGUGGGGUAACGGCUCACCUAGGCGACGAUCCCUAGCUGGUCUGAGAGGAUGACCAGCCACACUGGAACUGAGACACGGUCCAGACUCCUACGGGAGGCAGCAGUGGGGAAUAUUGCACAAUGGGCGCAAGCCUGAUGCAGCCAUGCCGCGUGUAUGAAGAAGGCCUUCGGGUUGUAAAGUACUAUCAGCGGGGAGGAAGGUGUUGAGGUUAAUAACCUCAGCAAUUGACGUUACCCGCAGAAGAAGCACCGGCUAACUCCGUGCCAGCCGCCGCAGUAACAC
rnacentral:rRNA from 1 species